rnacentral:rRNA from 1 species
AUGCAUUUUCUGUCUGUCAUCCCAUUACCGGCGUGGGCUCUGAAGAUUAUCGACAGAAGAUGUAGAGCCUUUGUGUGGAAAGGCGAGGAGGAAAUCAACGGAGGUCAUUGCCUGAUACCCUGGGCCCGGGUUUGCAGACCUAAAGAAUGGGGAGGCCUCGGUCUUUUGAACCUGAAAGAUUUUUGGAUCGCGCUUCGGUGUCGAUGGCAAUGGCUAAGAUGGGAUACUGAAAAACAUCAUUGGCAGCUAUUUCCAGAUCAGCAAGACAAGGACGCCUCCGCUAUUCUUGCGGCUGCAGGUCGAGUGAUACUGGGGAGAGGCGACACUGCCAGAUUUUGGACUGAUAACUGGACACCGGAAGGGUGUAGUAUUGCCUCGUUGGCACCAACCUUAAUUUCAUUUGUGAAAGAUUCUAAGCUGUCAGUCCGGGAUGCGCUACACAAUCGAAGAUGGAUUAAGGACAUCAAAGGUGGCUUGACAGUCCAAGCUUUGGCGCAAUACUUAUGGGUCUGGGACAUUGCACACGCUAUUGUACUCGAUUCGAAGACUCAUGAUCGACUUGUGUGGAGGAGGACAGAGCACCACCAAUUCACAGUCAGCAGCGCUUAUAGGAUGUUUUUCAUGGCUGGAAUCAGUUAAUUCACUGGAGGAUCUGGAAAGAGCGGAAUGCGAGAAUUUUUCAACACACUGCUUGUAAUAUUGAGAGGGUCUUAGAUCUUAUCAGGGAGGACAUUGGAAUAUGGAGAGCGGCCGGAUGUGUGGCUGAUUUAGCUAGUUAG